rnacentral:lncRNA from 1 species
GGGAGUCGACUUUCGUGAGACAACAGAGAAGUGCCUCCUCUAUAAAAGUACUCCCCUCCCCUCUAUAGCCCUCCACCAACGACGAUUGCACCUCCUUCUCUCUCUUUUCUUCCUUCAAAAUUGCAGCAUCCAGUUACCGUGCCCAUCGGAAUUUCAAGUUGUGGUGCUCGUCAGAGUCAAGGUAAGAGGCUUGAUCUCGUCCCUUAUCCUUCUCCUAAUCUCUCCUUAUGAUGGAGCUCACCGCUGGUUGAGGAAAUCUACCGAAAUCAAUGAUCAGAAGAAAUUCUUGUUCACGCCCCCUAUUUUUUUCUUUUUGGCAGCCUCCGCCGCUAGAGUUCAUCUCCGAGAGACUCAUUCUCUUUCUUAUAUUGGCCCCUGGCCUCCAUCGAAGCUCUAGCCACCAGUGAGUAGACUGGGACAUGAAAUUCAAGCCAAAAACACCUCUAUUUUGCCCAUGUUUUUGGUCUUCUUCUCUCCCUUUUUCAACUACCGCUACCGGCUACCCAUCACCACUGCCGGCUGCCACCUUGCCAGGCCACCUUGAUCCCAGCCACCGGUCAUUCCCCUUCCUCCUCUAUUUUACCAAGGAAGAAAGAAAAGAAGAAGAAGAACGAAGAAAGAAGAAGAGAAGAGAGAGAAUCGUUCCUCUCUUUCUCUCUCUUAUUCUACUCUUCUCUCUCUCAUUUCUCUCUCCUCUCUCCACAUUCUCUCUCUACUUUCUCUCUCUAGAAUAUCCAAAGAAUUUAGUAUUGGGUUCUGUUGACUCGAAUUCGAGUUGACUCUUGUAAAGGGCCCUAAUUCCGCUCUAGUGCUCGGGUUGUCUAUUGGACCGAUCACCCAAACCUUGUUGAAUAUCUUUGAAACCCUCAUCGAUGAACUACAUUGAUUAAUCUUAGCCCUCAUCAAGUCCAUGCUCUAUAAUUUAUUGAUCAAAUCGCUCAGGCCUGACCCACCCAAAACCACCAAACACUGUUACCCGACCAACCAUCUCCUUUUUCAUAUUUAUUUUAAUUUGAAUAUAUAUAUAUAUAUAUAUAUAUAUAUAUAUAUAUAUAUAUAUAUAUAUAUAUAUACUANNNNNNNNNNNNNNNNNNNNAUUUAUUAUUAUUAUAUAUAUAUAUAUAUAUAUAUAUAUAUAUAUAUAUAUAUAUAUAUAUAUAUAUCCAUGGUUCUAGACUUCAAAAACUCUAGUAUUUGUUAACAAAUUUCAUCGCCAUGUAUAGAAACAUAACAAGAAAUAUUUAUUGUAUUUCUGGUUCCUCAUAAUUUACAUAAUAUAUUUACAAAGCAAAAGAUUGGAGGCCCAUUUUCAAUAAAAGUGCGCCAAAAAUAUGAAAUAUUCAUUAAGCUCCAUGAUUUUAGACUUCAUUGAACUCCAAUCCAGUAUUUGCUAAUAGAUUUCACACCAUAUGUAAGACCAUAUCAAGAAAAAGAGCAUUGUUCUUAUAUUUCCAAAUCUUGUUAUCUUACAAAAUCUAUGUACGAAGCUAAUAAUUGGACGUUCAAAUUCAAUGAAACCGCAUCUAAAGGUUGGUUGAGUUCAAUGAUUUUAGACUUUUACCAACUCCAAUCUUCAGUGGUCGCCAACAGAUCUUAUAAUAUAAUAUAUAUACACACAUAUGCAUAUAUGUACACAUACAUAUAUAUGUGAUGGAAAAUAUUAGUAAAAUUUAGAAUCCGUGCUUCGUACAACUAAAUAAAUUUCACCAUAAAACACUUUCUAAGCAGGAAGUCCCAGUAGAUCUUUCUUUCAGGCACCCAAAUUUCGACUAUCCUCAAAAUGCCAGCAAAUCUUCUAUAUUUACUUAUUGUCAUUUCCUUUCUAAAAUUCACUCGCGCGCGCGCAUAUAUAUAUAUUAAUUUUUUAUUUUUAAAAUUCAAUGUAUGUUCCAAAUUGUGCAGUGAUGUUGCAGCCUGCCCGUUGCAUAGCAGCCCAACAUCUUCAUUCCCAUUUGGCACCAAGGCCCACUUCUCCAACGUGGUGGGCUGGUUGUUGCUCAUUGCCUACAAGGCCCAAUUCCAAUCCCCAACUCUGUUCUCCUCUUCCAUUUUGGAUAUUAAUCCCUUUCUAUUCCCGCUGUGUGUGUGUGUGUGUGUGUGAGAGAGAGAGAGAGAGAGAAUGAGAGAGAUAGAGGCCCCUAGGAAUCUCCCGGCCAUAGAUUCCUGGUUCUUGCUCUCUUCUAGUACUCUAAGGUAAGCCCCCAAAGUCCCUACUUGUCCUCCUUUUUUCCUGAAUUUUUAUGGUUUUUUGGUGCUUUUUUGGUGUUUGGAUCGCUGGGUUUGCUAAAAAUGUUUUUCUUUUCAUGUAUGUGUAGGUGUGUGGUUGUAUGCAUGUGUGUGUCCGUGUGUGGUGUGGAAGGGGUUGUCUUGGUUGUAGAUUUAUUUUAUUUGCUAGAUUAUAAAUUCUAGCUUUCUCUGUGUUUGCCGGGGUUUGGUUUUUUCUUUCUUUUUUUUUGAGUUUAUUCGGUGGAUUUCGAUGGAUAUCGGGUCAAUUUCGCAUUUUUAAGUUUCAAUGCAUGCCUAGUGAAUGUGAAAUGUCGAAUUUUUUUGGCAAAAUUUUGUCAAAAGGGUUUGUAGAUCGAGUAAGUGGUGGAGGCUCCUAAGUGAAAUAAGUCACGAGUAGUUGUAGAAACUACAAGUAAAGAAACUUUUCUUGAGGAAACAGAAAGGUGUAUCAGUUGCGGUACGAUACCGAUAACUAUAUUUCUGGUCUAUUUUGGAACUUUUGUAUUAUUAUUGUUUUCAAAGUUGGAAAUGAAGUCGGCAUAUGAUUUGCUGACUUUAACUCAAAUUUCAAAAAAAAACUUUGAAAUAGGAAAUGAAAAUGGUCUCCCCUGUUCCACUCUCCUAUAUUCCAAAAUGAAGAAGACGGAAGGGAGAGAGGGGCUGGGAGAAAAGGAGAGAGGAAGAAAGAGUGCCGCCUUGCAAACCCUAACCCUAAAUCGAGUGCGUGCACACACGCGAUAGAGAAAGAGAGAGAGAGAGAGAGAGAAAGGGAGGGAGGAAACCACUUACCAGACCAUCGGGAGUGGUCAUUGGGGGUUAGGGGUUGUUCAUGAGUGGGCAUCUCUCGAAAUCGCGAUCGGAUGAGGCUUGCAUCAUGAGCGAGUGAGAUUAAGAGUGGUGUUUAAUUUCCGAAUUGGGACCAUCAUGAAAUUAAUAGCCAAACUAUCUUAGUCCUCAACUGGCCCUGUUUGAUAUCUUUGCUACAAAUAUAUGCAAUUUCUACCUACAAUCUGAAGAAAACUAAAGCAACAGGAUUACCCUCAUCAAAUAAAGCUUGGAAAGUAAAUGAAACAAAACACAAAAGAAUAACUAACUCUUCUAACCAGUAAUGAAACAAAAUCCAAUGGAGAGGAAAGGAGGGAAUGUGCGCAUCAGUCAAUUUUCAUCUUAACAACUCAAGAAAAAGUUAGUGCACAUAUAAUUUGAGCAUCAAAAAAUUCCAUUAAGUUCACUAUCUAUAUAAAAGACUGCAUGUUCGCUUGAUAUUGAGAAUGAUAUUAAUGGAAAAAAAUAUUGACAUUGGUCUAAGUUUUCUGCUUUAUUUGUACUUUUAGACUUAGUUUUGUAAAACUUUAGAACAUUUAAUCUUUUUAAAAUGAGUAAAUACUAUGAAUGCAGCUUAGUAUAGAAGGUUUCUUUUUUAUUAUUAAGAAAUAGGUUUAUAAGGGAGAAGCUUUCCAGUUAGCAUUGAGUUCAUUUCUAUUGUUGGAUAUCAAAAUGUGCAAUUUUGUUUGGAAUUGGCAUCGACUUCACUUCUAUCAUUUGGUUAAAAUGUAUAUGUUUGCUUGGAAAGAGAAAGAUUUGUUAAAAUUGGCUUUGACUAGCAUUUAUGCAUAUAUUUAACCAAACAUAACACAAGUUUAUGGGCUUUAUGCUUGAGAGAGAGGAUACAAGAGUCCAAUGUAUUGCUCAAUAACUUGGCGUGUCACCUGUGCUCCUUUUCCAAACUUGUAUGGAACUUAUUGUUUUACUAAUGAUUGAUAAAAUUGUUUUCUAUGCUUUGCUAAAGAUUUCUGAUUGUAUACUUGAAAAAGGUUCAUGUUUGAUUAACAUGCUCUAAUUUGACUACAUACUUGGCAUGUGAGAUCUGCUUAACUACUGAAUUAAGGAAAAGAAGCAUUGAUGUUUCACCUCUGGCCGGCAUUUAGCAUGAAAACAGAGUACAUAGUAUCUCCUUAUAGUGAAAAUUGAUACAUUAUCUGGAAAUGCCGCCGCACCUUGUUCUGCGGUAGUCUUAAAUGUAAUUUCCCCCUAAUAACCUUUGUAAUGAGUGUGAUGUUACCCAAAAAUUUGGUAGGAAGAGAAGAAUCUAAAAAUGCUAUACCUCCUCCCCAACCUACCAUAACACACACACACAUACACAAAAAAAAGUAAUUAGUUUCUUGUCUUUGCAGCAGCUCGAAAUAUUUCAUGUUAUCUAUUACAAGUGACUCACAGUAAGUAGAAAUUAAAGUUGUGGCAGUACAGUUUGGCAGUGAAUUAUUUAUACCAUCUGUUGGUGUAAAUCUUUGAGGUGAAGUUGUAUAUUAAUAUGGAGAUGAUUUGGGCCUGUAGAAAUUGGGUUUUAUCAUUAACCAGCGAGCUUAACAAAUAUUAUUAGCCAAGAUAGAUUGCACCAAGAGCAUCAGGAAAUCAUGUAAUAUUAGGUCUAAUAUAACUUUAACUACCAUCAAUGCAUAUAUAUAACUGAACAUGAGUGCUUGAGACUUGUUCUAUCUUCAAACUCAUCUCCACCAAGUAGGUUUGUUUCAAUAAUUUGGUAACUUAGAAAUUCGGCUCUCUAAUGAGCAUAUCUAGCUGAUGGUAAUUCGUUACACUGAUAUAAGUAUUUUGCUUAUGGAAACUUAGUAAAACCACUGAGGAGUUCUUUCACAAACACAUACAUAAAUACAGACCCAAGAAAACAGUACUAAUCCAUGGAGGAGACUGACUUUUCAGGAAGAUGGAUCUUAGUUUCAGAUGAUGUGUGUUGGCCAUCCCACCAUAAAAGUAAUUAUGAAAGUGCAAACAACAUGAAGCUAGGUUUUUAUAUUAGCAAACAGUCCAGUGUAAACCCCCUCCAAAAACCAUUAUGCCCCUAACAUCUAGGAUCAGGAGGGCUUAUCAAUGCUCUACUCAAAGUUGGAUGGUUAUUGCUUGGAAUUAAGCAUGGGUUCUCAAUGACAAACAAAUAUCCAUUAAUGGAUGCAUGCAGUUAUCCAUGAACUAAUAUGUACAAAAUAAAAAACUUGACCAAUCUGCAUUGUCAGGAUGCUUGUAUCCGCACCAUGCACACAGAGCUCAAUCGAUCAAGUUGAAUCAUGCAUGUAUAUAUAUGAAUGUAAUCUUUGAUUCAAAAGAGGACAUGCCCAACCAGAAUCUACUAGCUGCAGAAGCAAUAAUUGUAAGACUACAUGCAUUUACACUUUCAAUUUAGGACUGAAAAAAUGAAGUAACUUGAGACAUCGACCUGUUAAUUGUUAAACAUUUUAGCCGAAUUUGUCAUUCCAUCAAAUGAUAAAAACCAACAGAAGUUUCUUUGAAAAAUCAGAAAAGCUGAAAAGAUCUGAAGAGAGACGUAGAAUAACAGAAGAUUGGACAUUACACUGAUGAUAAUUAAAUAAAGUUUACAUGGGAGGGGAAUUUUCUGAAUGGAGAUUAACCUCAAGUCAUCAUAUAUAUGAUGGCUACCCAUUACAAAAGUUGUUGGAAAAUAAAUUUGCCUAGAAACUUCUAUAUCUUUAUUUUAUAGAAGUAUUAUAAAAAAAUAAUCUACUAGAAUAAAAUCAGAAGAUUGAAAAAAGCAUGCCUAGAUCGAGGCGUGUAUACAUAUGCCCUAAGAACUUAAUUCGUCCUUUACAUACAGAAUUGCGGCAAUCUUGUCCCCAAGGUACAACAACCCGGCUCAAUCCGAUCUUCCUCUAAUGAGCACAAUCGCUGAGGAAGCUUAACCUGAUUGACUCCUUUAGAUGCCCAAUAAAUAAAAAAAUAAAAAGUAGGAAGUCAAACAGUGGAAGAAUUCUCUAUAUGUAGAAGAAACACUCGAGAGAUAGAGUACUAGUGAGAAAGAGAGAGAUUGGAUUGUUUUUUUGAUUAAUAGACUCUCUUCAAAAAAUUGAAGAGGCGUGAUGGUUCCGAAGAUACGUAAUGUUUCGGAAACACCAUAUUUUUUUAAAAACCAAUAUUCUCUUUUGAAAAGCCCUUUCUAUUCCCGCUGUGAAAGAGAGAGAGAGAGAGAGAGAGAGAGAAUGAGAGAGAUAGAGGCCCCUAGGAAUCUCCCAGCCAUAGAUUCCUGGUUCUUGCUCUCUUCUAGUACUCUAAGGUGAGCCCCCAAAGUCCCUACUCAUCUUCCUUUUUUCCUGAAUUUUUAUGGUUUUUUUUCUUUUUUUAUGUUUGGAUUGCUGGGUUUGCUAAAAAUGUUUUUCUUUUUGUGUAUGUGCAGGUGUGUGGUUGUAUGCGUGUGUGUCCAUGUGUGGUGUGGAAGGGGUUGUUUUAGUUGUAGAUUUAAACUUUAUUUGGGAAAGCUAUUGGCAGUAGAGCUUUUAGAAGCAGAGCUUUUGGAAGUAGAGUUAUUUGAAGUAGAGUUUUGAUAAAAAGUUGUUUGCUGUUUGGUAACUACAUUUCUAAAGUGCUAUGAUAUUUUAACAUGUGUUUGGUAAACAAACUGAGAAAGUACUUUUGGUAUGACAAAAUGGCCAUAAAAAAUAUUGUAUAGUAUUAUACAACAAAGCAUAAUAAUAUAUAUAUAUAUAUAUAUUAAUACAUAAAUAUAUAAUAUAGUAUAAUAUUACUGUAAUGUAAUAUAAUAUUGUAAUAAUAUAAUAAUAUAAUAUCGUAUAUUAUAUCAUAAUAAUUUGAUAUAAUAUUAAAUUAUUUAACAUAACAUAUUAAUGUAUUAUGAUAUAAUGUAAUAUAACAUUAUAUUUAUAGUAUAAUACAAUAAUAAAGAUAUAAAAUAUUAUAAUUAUUAACAUAAAUUAAUUUUUCAUAAUAUAAUAUAAUAUUAAAUUAUAUAAUAUAAUAUAUUACUAUAUUAUGAUAUAAUGUAAUAUAAUAUUAUAUUUAUAGUAUAAUACAAUAAUAAAGAUAUAAAAUAUUAUAAUUAUUAGUAUAAAUUAAUUUUUUAUCCUCCUGAUGAUCAUUUAUCUCUGUAAUAAAUUUUCUAACAAAUUUUUAGGAUUAUAAAGAAAUAUUUUGUGUAAUUGUUAUAUUUUAUCAUGGGUAUGUUGAUCAAAAAAAUAACUUCUCGACCGGGCUUCAAAAUGCUUUUCUGAAAAAAAUUUCAAAAUGGGGAUUCUUCCAAAAAGCUGUUUUUAGCUUUUUGAAAAAGCUAAAAUAUCUUUUCAAAAUUUUUACUAAACACUCCUAUUUUAUCUAAAAAUACUUUUGGAAGGCCAGAAUGUAAUUUUUGGUCCUCCAAAAGCUCCUCCAAACAGGGCCUUAUAUUCUAUUUGCUAGAUUAUGGAUUCUAGCUUUCGCUAUUUUUGCCGGGGUUUGGUUUUUUCUUUCUUUUUUUUUGAGUUUAUUCGGUGGAUUUCGAUGGAUAUCUGAUCAAUUUCGCAUGUUUAGGUUUUAAUGCAUGUCUAGUGCAUGUGAAAUGUCGAACUUCUUUG